AUUGUGGGUGGGGAUGGUAAUUCUGCUCACCACCAAACAACACUUCUAACUUCUAACAAACACUUUCAGAACCCCGAAGAAAAAACACAACAAAAACCUGAUAAGCUUAGGAAAUGUCUUCUGUACUGCAAACAGUUGAGCUCACAUGAACUCUAAGGAAUUCCAGGAGCAGAAUCACUGGAUCAAAGUAUGCUGGUACGGCUUUGAUUUCUCAUGGAGAUAGUUCCAACAACUUAUACUGUCACCAGUAUGGUCCUUGUCUACACGAGUAACUCUCACCUUAAAGCAAUUCUCAUCUGACAUGAGUUGCUCAGCCUUCCGCUGAUAUGUUGAUUCCAGGAGACUCCUGGAAGUCUGCGUGUUCAGCUGGCCUCCGGUGGCCCCAUUAUUGUUUUCCGCCAGAUAAAGGUCAGUCACCUGCACACAGAUCUCAUCACUCACGAUGUGCUGCAGCUGGAAUCAAGCAAAGCUUGCUUUUAUACACAUUCUCAUUUGAUCUACACAACUACCCUGGGAAGAGUGCCCUGUUACACAGAAGACAAAUUUCCAUUUUGGAUGAGAACACUCACUGUGUGCCAAGAACUGUUAAUCACCACAGAAAACAACUAAGGACGAUAUACUUGAUUUGCCAAGUCAAAUAAAAAGACUAAAUAACAUGAGACUUCAUCUAAAUAAUGGAAGUUGUAUACUACAACAUAAGAGAGGUUUCUAAUAUAGAUGCAACUAUCCCAGGUAUAGGAAAAGUCAUCAAUCUGUUCAAAUAAAAGUAAUCACCCAAGGAAAACAAGGAGCCUUACUUUUUUCCAAGGUCGAAUUUAAAGAUUCAAUUUGUAGCAGUCUUCUGACUGUGGCCCUCAGCCCCAUAGGAGGGCAUGGUACUGCUUCUAAAGGGACUCCUAAGAAUGACACCUAAGGAAUCACCAUCUCCUACUUCCCCUGGAUUUCCCUCUUCUUUGUUUUCUUCUAAUAAAUUCUGAGAAAUUUAUGGAUUUAUGGAAUUGCUAAGUCAAAAA